CAAAAAUCAACGUAUAGGAGGUCCUGCCUGCCCAGUGACUUUAAGUUAAAUGGCCGCGGUAUUUUGACCGUGCUAAGGUAGCGCAAUCACUUGUCUUUUAAAUGAAGACCUGUAUGAAUGGCGAGACGAGGGCUUAACUGUCUCCUUUUUCUGGUCAAUGAAAUUGAUCUACCCGUGCAGAAGCGGGUAUAAAAAUACAAGACGAGAAGACCCUUUGGAGCUUAAGACUAACGACCAACUGCAUCAAUACUUCCAACAAAAAGAAAUUUAAACUAAGCAUACCAAUGGUCUGCGUCUUCGGUUGGGGCGACCGCGGGGGAAAAUAAAGCCCCCACGUGGUACGGGCUUAAACCUUAAACCAAGAGAGACAUCUCUAAGUCUCAGAAUAUUUGACCAAAAGAUCCGGCCUAGGGCCGAUCAACGAACCAAGUUACCCUAGGGAU
rnacentral:rRNA from 1 species